CAAAGUGUGGCUUAAAUAAAGCAUCUGGCUUACACCCAGAAGAUUUCACAUCCAUUGGCCACUUUGAACUUAAAG
rnacentral:tRNA from 1 species